rnacentral:rRNA from 1 species
UUUAUGGAGAGUUUGAUCCUGGCUCAGGAUGAACGCUGGCGGCGUGCCUAAUACAUGCAAGUCGAGCGAACGGACGAGAAGCUUGCUUCUCUGAUGUUAGCGGCGGACGGGUGAGUAACACGUGGAUAACCUACCUAUAAGACUGGGAUAACUUCGGGAAACCGGAGCUAAUACCGGAUAAUAUUUUGAACCGCAUGGUUCAAAAGUGAAAGACGGUCUUGCUGUCACUUAUAGAUGGAUCCGCGCUGCAUUAGCUAGUUGGUAAGGUAACGGCUUACCAAGGCAACGAUGCAUAGCCGACCUGAGAGGGUGAUCGGCCACACUGGAACUGAGACACGGUCCAGACUCCUACGGGAGGCAGCAGUAGGGAAUCUUCCGCAAUGGGCGAAAGCCUGACGGAGCAAUGCCGCGUGAGUGAUGAAGGUCUUCGGAUCGUAAAACUCUGUUAUUAGGGAAGAACAUAUGUGUAAGUAACUGUGCACAUCUUGACGGUACCUAAUCAGAAAGCCACGGCUAACUACGUGCCAGCAGCCGCGGUAAUACGUAGGUGGCAAGCGUUAUCCGGAAUUAUUGGGCGUAAAGCGCGCGUAGGCGGUUUUUUAAGUCUGAUGUGAAAGCCCACGGCUCAACCGUGGAGGGUCAUUGGAAACUGGAAAACUUGAGUGCAGAAGAGGAAAGUGGAAUUCCAUGUGUAGCGGUGAAAUGCGCAGAGAUAUGGAGGAACACCAGUGGCGAAGGCGACUUUCUGGUCUGUAACUGACGCUGAUGUGCGAAAGCGUGGGGAUCAAACAGGAUUAGAUACCCUGGUAGUCCACGCCGUAAACGAUGAGUGCUAAGUGUUAGGGGGUUUCCGCCCCUUAGUGCUGCAGCUAACGCAUUAAGCACUCCGCCUGGGGAGUACGACCGCAAGGUUGAAACUCAAAGGAAUUGACGGGGACCCGCACAAGCGGUGGAGCAUGUGGUUUAAUUCGAAGCAACGCGAAGAACCUUACCAAAUCUUGACAUCCUUUGACAACUCUAGAGAUAGAGCCUUCCCCUUCGGGGGACAAAGUGACAGGUGGUGCAUGGUUGUCGUCAGCUCGUGUCGUGAGAUGUUGGGUUAAGUCCCGCAACGAGCGCAACCCUUAAGCUUAGUUGCCAUCAUUAAGUUGGGCACUCUAAGUUGACUGCCGGUGACAAACCGGAGGAAGGUGGGGAUGACGUCAAAUCAUCAUGCCCCUUAUGAUUUGGGCUACACACGUGCUACAAUGGACAAUACAAAGGGCAGCGAAACCGCGAGGUCAAGCAAAUCCCAUAAAGUUGUUCUCAGUUCGGAUUGUAGUCUGCAACUCGACUACAUGAAGCUGGAAUCGCUAGUAAUCGUAGAUCAGCAUGCUACGGUGAAUACGUUCCCGGGUCUUGUACACACCGCCCGUCACACCACGAGAGUUUGUAACACCCGAAGCCGGUGGAGUAACCUUUUAGGAGCUAGCCGUCGAAGGUGGGACAAAUGAUUGGGGUGAAGUCGUAACAAGGUAGCCGUAUCGGAAGGUGCGGCUGGAUCACCUCCUUUCU